rnacentral:lncRNA from 1 species
GGUUUGAACAGCUGUCUGCGGGAAGCCAAGGCUGUACCCGUGACCAUGGCAGAGGUGUUCGCUGUUGCUUUUGCCAGAUGGGUCUGGAAGACGGGAGGAAGAUGGCCUUCCUUUGAUCGGUGCUGUUUUCCAGCGGCUGGUGCUCAGUGCCCUGGGUUAUCAGCUUUUCUCCUUUUCCCUUUCAAUUUCGUUUGGAAGUGCCGCUCGCCCAGACUCAGGACAUUUAGGUGCUGACUCCGUUGAUACCCGCUCAGCUGGGGAGGCCAGCCGUGGUUCCCGGUGACGUCCGGGGACAGCGUGUGUUUUGGUCGGUGGUGGGAUUUGAACCCUGGUUUGGCCUCUUACUGGAUGGGUGACCCCGGGUGCGUUUCGGCCCUGCUCUGGGCCUUGAUUUCCGCCUUGUUAAGAGUCGGCCUCGUGCCUGUGCGCAGGGGGUGCUCAGCAUGCGGUCUCCCCUGCCCUCCUCCGGGCCAGAGACUGUCUUUGAAGGAGAAGGAGGCUGGGCUCGCUCCCCUCCCUGUAACCAGACCCGUCGUGUCUGCCUACAGGUGACAGCAGAGGAAAGGUCCUCUGGUGAGGUACAGAGUCACUGUCUCCAAGGAGUAAUUUUCCAGAACCUUUGAGCUGCAAGGGGUCUUUGCAGAUGAGGAUUUACAGCUCCGAGUGCCGGCCUGGCAGAAGCUUCGGUGCCGACCGGGCUCAGUGACGAUGGGGCUUCCUACGUGUCAUCUCCAUGCAGAGUUCUGGCCUCAGGCGAAGGUGGCUUCAGGGGCUCAGAUGAUGUUCCAGGACCUGGCCUCUCUCAUGUUGGCUCCGUUCCCAGGCGGAGUGGCUCCAGGAAGCGAGGGAUAGAAGUGGUGCAGGUGAGUACAGACCGCACCCUCCCCAUUUUUCAUGUGGGUGGGCCUUUCGGGGCUCCCCUUUCCUCCUCUCCCGCAAGAGUCUGGGUGCCUGAGCACCUUCCCUUGCUUCUCAUGUUUAACCUCUCCCUGUGUGGAGUCUCGGUGAUUUCUGCCCUGGCAGGACGUGGGUUGUGGUUGGUGGUCUCUGGGGUUUGUGGAGUUGCAAUGGCUUUAUCCGUGGAAGGAGCUGGCAGGGGGAGAGGUGGCUCUGGGUGGGGGUGGGGGUAGGCAGGGUGCGGGAGCAUGGCCACCCAACCAGGUGUCUGGGGUCCUCUUACCCCCACGGUUUGUCUGUAUCUGCCCUGUGUCUCUGCCGAGGGAACACGAGCCCCCUGAGCCCCUGCCUUGGCUACUCGGCCCUCUAGGGGUGAGCCCUCUCCUUUCUCGGACCAUUCUUGUAAGUGGUAUCAUCUCCAAGAUGACUCUUGCUCCCCUGUCCUUCUCUCCCCACACCCCUAGGUCAGGCACAUCCCCUCCCUGCUCUCGGUCGGUCACAUCUGAUCUUCCCUACGAGCCCCUGGCUCCUAGAGAGUGAGUGGACUGAGUCGGGGCGGCGGGGGGGAGGCUCCUGACCCCUGUGCUGCCUCACCCUGGGACACACUUGGGUCAGGUGCUCAUUGUCUGGUGAAGGAAGGAUGAAUGGAAAGAGAAGACCUCCCAGGGCCUGGGGUGUGCUCUGUCUCCCCAAAAUAGAUGUACAUACUCUGAUAGCAGCCAUGGGAGUGUUGGUGGGGUGGGACUGGUUUUCUCUGUCUGGAAGCCUUUGGUGGAGGGCAGCCGAAUUAAUUCUUCCUCUGGUCUCCCUCCUUGUAGCUGGUUGAACUUGUCAGCUGGAGGCUGAGGUUGGUUUUGGGGGAGGGGGUAGUUUCUGGAAGUCCCUUAUUGGCCGUUGAUUUUUCAUCCAGGCUCGUUUUGGCUCCGCAGAGUUGCGUGAUCCGCACGGAGUCUUUCUGUGGACCUUAAUUUCUUUCUUUUUUUUUUUUUUUAUUACCUUGUUGAAUUUUAUUUUAUUUUAUUUUUGUGGACCUUAAUUUCUUAUACAUUCAAAGGGGGAAGUCGGAAUUCAGGAUUGGCUAAGACGUACAUGUGCUUUCGGGGCCAUAUCUGAUUGAUUGGUAGUGGCUGCUGGGAGGAUUCUUAAUCUUCCGUGAGGUUAGCUACAGUGCUUGUCAGGGUUCGCGCAGAAAUUUCUGUGGGGAGCAGUUUUUUUUAGAGGAAGUGAGUUCAU